CAGCAGCCGCGGUAAUACCGGCGGCCCGAGUGGCGGUCACUAUUAUUGGGCUUAAAGCGUCCGUAGCCGGGUUGGGAAGUCCCCCGGGAAAUCUGGCCGCUUAACGGUCAGAAUGCCGGAGGAUACUCCCAGCCUAGGGAGCGGGAGAGGCCGAGGGUAUUCCCGGAGUAGGGGUGAAAUCCUAUAAUCCCGGGAGGACCACCUGUGGCGAAGGCGCUCGGCUGGAACGCGGCCGACGGUGAGGGACGAAGGCCAGGGGAGCAAACCGGAUUAGAUACCCGGGUAGUCCUGGCUGUAAACGAUGCGGACUUUGUGUCGGACAAGCUAUGAGCUUGUCCGGUGCCGGAGGGAAACCGUUAAGUCCGCCGCCUGGGGAGUACGGCCGCAAGGCUGAAACUUAAAGGAAUUGGCGGG
rnacentral:rRNA from 1 species